CACCAUGAUGAUAAAGGACCAAUGGUCCGAUCUAAUAACCCAGCUCGUCGAUUGCCUCUCCAAUAACGCUGAGUGCAAGCUGAGAUAAAAACCCCAUUCUGACUC
rnacentral:snoRNA from 1 species